UACGGGGGGGGCAAGCGUUGUUCGGAAUUACUGGGCGUAAAGGGUUCGUAGGUGGCCAACUAAGUCAGACGUGAAAUCCCUCAGCUCAACUGGGGAACUGCGUCUGAUACUGGUUGGCUUGAGUGCAGGAGAGGAACGCGGAAUUCCAGGUGUAGCGGUGAAAUGCGUAGAUAUCUGGAGGAACACCGGUGGCGAAGGCGGCGUUCUGGACUGCAACUGACACUGACGCUCAUGCACGAAAGCGUGGGGAGCAAACAGG
rnacentral:rRNA from 1 species